GCCCCGCCCCUUGGCUCCACCGGAUGGAAAAGACGCUCCGUUUGGGUGGCCCACCUGAUUUUUACACAUUUCUCUAUCGCAAGGACCCUGCGCCAAUCCCUUUUAAGGCUGCCUCAAGUCACCUAGGAAGUUGCAGCACUCCCGGGAGUAGCCGGGGCCUCUUCAGUGGUGGGCGGCAGAGAAGGGCUGAGACUGGGAGGCUGGUACAGCCUCUUUGCCUCUGAAAUGCCGUCCUCCAGGGCCCCCAAAACCCAAGCCAACUACUUCAUCUGGUGAUCAACCAAGUCAGAUUUAUUUCCAACACCUGAAAAAACUGGCUCUGAUAGAACUACUGAGAGGAUCCCAUGUGCUACCCUAAAAGAUUUUCAAAGGGGUACAAACCUAUGAGCGAAACUGCUGAGUCCAAUGG